AUUACUUUUCAUUCACAGUAACUUUAUACUAUAUCUUGUAGUACAUUAGAAAUUACUUUAAGUUUGCAGUUAAAUGUUCCAAUUUCAUAUUAAUUACCUUGCUAGACACAAUUGGAACAAGUGAAGAUUUAUCUUUACAAAAAUAGGAAUUACAAUGGCAGGUUUUAUAAAAUUAGUAAAAAAUGUUUAUUAUGAUCCUUUUAAGUGGUCAGUAGUUAAAAGCAUUGGAUUAUUUGUAUUAGGUGUAAAAAUUGCUGUUGAAUGUAAAGGAAUGAAUGUAAUGCCACCAAUUUCUUAGAAAUUAAAAUGUAGGAGCUAAAAAAAAAAAAAAA